UGGGGAAUAUUGCGCAAUGGGCGAAAGCCUGACGCAGCGACGCCGCGUUAGGGACGAAGGUCUUCGGAUUGUAAACCUCUUUCAGCUCUGACGAAGCGAAAGUGACGGUAGGAGCAGAAGAAGCACCGGCCAACUACGUGCCAGCAGCCGCGGUAAUACGUAGGGUGCAAGCGUUGUCCGGAAUUAUUGAGCGUAAAGAGCUCGUAGGCGGUUUGUCACGUCGAAUGUGAAAACCCGGGACUCAACUCCGGGCCUGCAUUCGAUACGGGCAGACCAGAGUUCGGUAGGGGAGACUGGAAUUCCUGGUGUAGCGGUGAAAUGCGCAGAUAUCAGGAGGAACACCGAUGGCGAAGGCAGGUCUCUGGGCCGAUACUGACGCUGAGGAGCGAAAGCGUGGGGAGCGAACAG
rnacentral:rRNA from 1 species